GACGAACGCUGACGGUGUGCUUUAGACAUGCAAGUCGAACGAGAAAGCCCUUCGGGUUAGUAAAGUGGCGAACGGGUGAGUAACACGUGGGCAAUCUGCCCCUCGCAGGGGGACAACCGGAGGAAACCCGGCUAAUACCCCGUAAGUUCAAAGGGAGGCAUCUCCCCUUGAAGAAAGGUAGCUUCGGCCAUCCGGCGAGGGAUGAGCCCGCGGUGCAUUAGCUAGUUGGUGGGGUAACG
rnacentral:rRNA from 1 species